GGUUGCAACAACAAGAACAACAACAAUAGAGAAGCAAAUGAGAGCAGUGAAGCAGAUAAUCCGGGAGAUGCAGAGUACUAACAACUAACAAAACAACAAAAGGAUGGACAAAAACCAACUGUCUUUCUACAGUACGUACUAAUGAGGUGCAACUUGACCAGGGUUACGUUCUCCUAGUAUUCAAGGACUACCUUCCUAGACCUCCUGCAGAACUAAAACGUUCGCAAUAGACUGGACUAAUCUCCCAAGGAUCAACGUUUAUUGACGACCGGUGGUGAAUGUACAGGUUUUCUGUCCGUCCGUAUUAGUUUGUUCGGGUAUUUCAGGUAAGUAAUGAAUAAUAUAUUAUAAGAACCUUUUAAAUAAUUUGUUUUUUUUUUUUUUUUCUUCUUUCUUUUUUUUUGUAUAUACUGGUUUCCGGCAACCUAUGAGUUAAAAUCUACCGCGGGAUUGUUCUUAACUUUCUUCUUAAAAUUUUCCCUACUACAGGGUGCACACGACAAACCGUACCAUUCUGUAAUCCAUUUAUGAAUACAGAAUGGGGUGGAAAAAUUUGCGCCCUGAAUUUAUGAAUUUCCCUAAUUUUAAAAAUUUUCUGGGAUUUUGGGCAUUUCUUUUAUUCCAAAAAAAAAAAAAAAUUAGCAAUAUGGCAACCCUUAUUCCAUUCACAAACAAAAGUGCGACUCUGUACCGCCGUUAAAAUAGGUCGGGCGGCGACGUACUCUGAAUUUACUACACAGGUGUUUGAAUGAAAUGGAAGGGGAGGAGAGAGAAUGCAAAAAUACGCAUUUAUUAAGAUUUUUCAAUGGCGGUGGUCAACAAUGGGAAGUACUUUAAUAGCAAAAUGUCCCAAAAUAUUAAUAAAAUUUUUCUUAUAUUUUCUUUUCAGGAAUUGACGACGGAUGCUGCAGAUUCUGGUGGAAUAUUGGAAUGUGGCUACAGUUAGCUAUUGGGUAGGUGCUGAUGUAAUUUCUGGAGUUGGACAUGUGCAAGAUUAAACUUCUAGAGGAUCUUGAACUUCAAACUGGCCUUAGAUUUCGUUUAGGAUCCAACACUAAUCCAACACCUGAGGAAAGUGAAGUGGAAGAUCGAGAACCUAGUGAAAGGUCAGGUUAUUAAGACUUCAAGUGUCCCUGAGAAGGACGAACUGAAGGGGCGAAACUCCACUAAGAAGCCAAAUUCAGUGUAAUUCAUGGGACUUGG